GAUGAACGCUGGCGGCGUGCCUAAUACAUGCAAGUCGAGCGAACAGACGAGGAGCUUGCUCCUCUGACGUUAGCGGCGGACGGGUGAGUAACACGUGGAUAACCUACCUAUAAGACUGGGAUAACUUCGGGAAACCGGAGCUAAUACCGGAUAAUAUAUUGAACCGCAUGGUUCAAUAGUGAAAGACGGUUUUGCUGUCACUUAUAGAUGGAUCCGCGCCGCAUUAGCUAGUUGGUAAGGUAACGGCUUACCAAGGCAACGAUGCGUAGCCGACCUGAGAGGGGAAUCGGCCACACUGGAACGGAGAACCGGUCCAGACUCCUAGGGGAGGCAGCAGUAGGGAAUCUUCCGAAAUGGGCGAAAGCCUGACGGAGCAACGCCGCGUGAGUGAUGAAGGUCUUCGGAUCGUAAAACUCUGUUAUUAGGGAAGAACAAAUGUGUAAGUAACUAUGCCCGUCUUGACGGUACCUAAUCAGAAAGCAACGCUUAACUACGU
rnacentral:rRNA from 1 species